AAUGUUGUUUAGUCCUGAUGGCUAAUAUGGUCAAACAGGAUGUUGUUGUUUAGUCCUGAUGGCUAAUAUGGUCAAACAGGUUGUUGUUGUUUAGUCCUGAUGGCUAAUAUGGUCAAACAGGUUGUUGUUGUUUAGUCCUGAUGGCUAAUAUGGUCAAACAGGUUGUUGUUGUUUAGUCCUGAUGGCUAAUAUGGUCAAACAGGUUGUUGUUGUUUAGUCCUGAUGGCUAAUAUGGUCAAACAGGUUGUUGUUGUUUAGUCCUGAUGGCUAAUAUGGUCAAACAGGUUGUUGUUGUUUAGUCCUGAUGGCUAAUAUGGUCAAACAGGUUGUUGUUGUUUAGUCCUGAUGGCUAAUAUGGUCAAACAGGUUGUUGUUGUUUAGUCCUGAUGGCUAAUAUGGUCAAACAGGUUGUUGUUGUUUAGUCCUGAUGGCUAAUAUGGUCAAACAGGUUGUUGUUGUUUAGUCCUGAUGGCUAAUAUGGUCAAACAGGUUGUUGUUGUUUAGUCCUGAUGGCUAAUAUGGUCAAACAGGUUGUUGUUGUUUAGUCCUGAUGGCUAAUAUGGUCAAACAGGUUGUUGUUGUUUAGUCCUGAUGGCUAAUAUGGUCAAACAGGUUGUUGUUGUUUAGUCCUGAUGGCUAAUAUGGUCAAACAGGUUGUUGUUGUUGUUUAGUCCUGAUGGCUAAUAUGGUCAAACAGGUUGUUGUUGUUGUUUAGUCCUGAUGGCUAAUAUGGUCAAACAGGUUGUUGUUGUUGUUUAGUCCUGAUGGCUAAUAUGGUCAAACAGGUUGUUGUUGUUUAGUCCUGAUGGCUAAUAUGGUCAAACAGGUUGUUGUUGUUUAGUCCUGAUGGCUAAUAUGGUCAAACAGGUUGUUGUUGUUGUUUAGUCCUGAUGGCUAAUAUGGUCAAACAGGUUGUUGUUGUUUAGUCCUGAUGGCUAAUAUGGUCAAACAGGUUGUUGUUGUUUAGUCCUGAUGGCUAAUAUGGUCAAACAGGUUGUUGUUGUUGUUGGUGACACUUUGCACAUUGCAGACACAAUUGUCUCAAAUGGCAACCUAUUCCCUACAUACAGGGCCGGAUUAAUGCAGGGGCUUACCGGGCUGAAGCCCCUGGGCCCA